GAUGAACGCUGGCGGCGUGCCUAAUACAUGCCAGUCGAGCGAACGGACGAGAAGCUUGCUUCUCUGAUGUUAGCGGCGGACGGGUGAGUAACACGUGGAUAACCUACCUAUAAGACUGGGAUAACUUCGGGAAACCGGAGCUAAUACCGGAUAAUAUUUUGAACCGCAUGGUUCAAAAGUGAAAGACGGUCUUGCUGUCACUUAUAGAUGGAUCCGCGCUGCAUUAGCUAGUUGGUAAGGUAACGGCUUACCAAGGCAACGAUGCAUAGCCGACCUGAGAGGGUGAUAGGCGACACUGGAGCUGAGACACGGUCAAGACGCCUGCGGGAGGCAGCAGUAGGGAAUCUGACGCAAUGGGCGAGAACAUGACGGAGCGACGCCGAGUGAGUGAUGGCGGUCUUCGGAUCGUAAAACUCUGUUAUGAGGGAAGAACAGAUGUGUAAGUAACUGUGCCCAUCUUGACGGUACCUGAUCAGAAAGCAACGGCUAACUACGUG
rnacentral:rRNA from 1 species